CUUACUUCAAAAUCAAAAAUCUCAAAAAAAUAAUUGAAGCAUUAUCAUGAAACAACAAGCAUAAUGCUCAGAAAAGUAUGCCGAACAAAUAUUAUUUGAAGUCUAAAACUGUUCAAGUAAUAGUUUUUGAAAUAUCGGACUUGUUAUGGAGUAGUAUCUAAAAAUUAAGUUUGAUGCUCAAGGUAACCACUCACUUCAAAAUCAAAAAUCUCGAAAACUAGUUGAAGCAUUAUGAUGAAACAAAAAGCAUAAUGCUCAGAAAAGUAUGCCGAACAAAUAUUAUUCGAAGUCUAAAAUUGUCCAAGUAAUAGUUUUUGAAAUAUCGGACUUGUUAUGGAGUAGUAUCUAAAAAUUAAGUUUGAUGCUCAAGGUAACCACUCACUUCAAAAUCAAAAAUCUCGAAAACUAGUUGAAGCAUUAUGAUGAAACAAAAAGCAUAAUGCUCAGAAAAGUAUGCCGAACAAAUAUUAUUUGAAGUCUAAAACUGUCCAAGUAAUAGUUUUUGAAAUAUCGGACUUGUUAUGGAGUAGUAUCAAAAAAUUAAGUUUGAUGCUCAAGGUAACCACUCACUUCAAAAUCAAAAAUCUCGAAAACUAAUUGAAGCAUUAUCAUGAAACAAACAGCAUAAUGUUCAGAAAAGUAUGCUGAACAAAUAUUAUUGGAAGUCUAAAAUUGUCCAAGUAAUAGUUUUUGAAAUAUCGGACUUGUUAUGGAGUAGUAUCUAAAAAUUAAGUUUGAUGCUCAAGGUAACCACUCACUUCAAAAUCAAAAAUCUCGAAAACUAAUUGAAGCAUUAUCAUGAAAUAAAAAGCAUAAUGCUCAGAAAAGUAUGCUGAACAGUUAUUAUUAGAAGUCUAAACAUGUUCAAGUAAUAGUUUUUAAAAUAUCGGACUUGUUAUUGAGUAGUAUCUAAAAAUUAAGUUUGAUGCUCAAGGUAACCACUCACUUCAAAAUCAAAAAUCUCGAAAACUAAUUGGAGUAUUAUCAUGAAAUAAAAAGCAUAAUGCUCAGAAAAGUAUGCUGAACAGAUAUUAUUGGAAGUCUAAAAUUGUCCAAAUAAUAGUUUUUGAUAUAUCUGACUUGUUAUAGAGUAGUAUCUAAAAAUUUAAUUUGAUACUCAAGGUAAUCACUUACUUCAAAGUCAAAAAUCUCGAAAACUAAUUGAAGCAUUAUCAUGAAAUAAAAAGCAUAAUGCUCAGAAAAGUAUGCUGAACAAAUAUUAUUGGAAGUCUAAAAUUGUCCAAGUAAUAGUUUUUGAAAUAUCGGACUUGUUAUGGAGUAGUAUCAAAAAAUUAAGUUUGAUGCUCAAGGUAACCACUUACUUCAAAGUCAAAAAUGUCGAAAACUAAUUGAAGCAUUAUCAUGAAAUAAAAAGCAUAAUGCUCAGAAAAGUAUGCUGAACAAAUAUUAUUGGAAGUCUAAAAUUGUCCAAGUAAUAGUUUUUGAAAUAUCGGACUUGUUAUGGAGUAGUAUCAAAAAAUUAAGUUUGAUGCUCAAGGUAACCACUUACUUCAAAGUCAAAAAUGUCGAAAACUAAUUGAAGCAUUAUCAUGAAAUAAAAAGCAUAAUGCUCAGAAAAGUAUGCUGAACAAAUAUUAUGGGAAGUCUAAAAUUGUCCAAGUAAUAGUUUUUGAAAUAUCUGACUUGUUAUAGAGUAGUAUCUAAAAAUUAAGUUUGAUGCUUAAGGUAACCACUCACAUCAAAAAUCUCAAAAAAUAAUUGAAGCAUUAUCAUGAAACAAAAAGCAUAAUGCUCAGAAAAGUAUGCUGAACAAAUAUUAUUAGAAGUCUAAAACUGUCCAAGUAAUAGUUUUUAAAAUAUCGGACUUGUUAUAGAGUAGUAUCUAAAAAUUAAGUUUGAUGCUCAAGGUAACCACUCACUUCAAAAUCAAAAAUCUCAAAAACUAGUUGAAGCAUUAUUAUGAAGCAACAAGCAUAAUGCUCAGAAAAGUAUGCUGAACAGUUAUUAUUAGAAGUCUAAACAUGUUCAAGUAAUAGUUUUUGAAAUAUCUGACUUGUUAUUGAGUAGUAUCUAAAAAUUAAGUUUGAUGCUUAAGGUAACCACUCACAUCAAAAAUCUCAAAAAAUAAUUGAAGCAUUAUCAUGAAACAAAAAGCAUAAUGCUCAGAAAAGUAUGCUGAACAAAUAUUAUUGGAAGUCUAAAAUUGUCCAAGUAAUAGUUUUUGAAAUAUCGGACUUGUUAUGGAGUAGUAUCAAAAAAUUAAGUUUGAUGCUCAAGGUAACCACUCACUUCAAAAUCAAAAAUCUCGAAAACUAAUUGAAGCAUUAUCAUGAAAUAAAAAGCAUAAUGCUCAGAAAAGUAUGCUGAACAAAUAAUAUUAGAAUUCUAAAACUGUCCAAGUAAUAGUUUUUGAAAUAUCGGACUUGUUAUAGAGUAGUAUCAAAAAAUUAAGUUUGAUGCUCAAGGUAACCACUUACUUCAAAGUCAAAAAUGUCGAAAACUAAUUGAAGCAUUAUCAUGAAAUAAAAAGCAUAAUGCUCAGAAAAGUAUGCUGAACAAAUAUUAUUGGAAGUCUAAAAUUGUCCAAGUAAUAGUUUUUGAAAUAUCGGACUUGUUAUGGAGUAGUAUCAAAAAAUUAAGUUUGAUGCUCAAGGUAACCACUCACUUCAAAAUCAAAAAUCUCGAAAACUAAUUGAAGCAUUAUCAUGAAACAAACAGCAUAAUGUUCAGAAAAGUAUGCUGAACAAAUAUUAUUGGAAGUCUAAAAUUGUCCAAGUAAUAGUUUUUGAAAUAUCGGACUUGUUAUGGAGUAGUAUCUAAAAAUUAAGUUUGAUGCUCAAGGUAACCACUCACUUCAAAAUCAAAAAUCUCGAAAACUAAUUGAAGCAUUAUCAUGAAACAAAAAGCAUAAUGCUCAGAAAAGUAUGCUGAGCAGAUAUUAUUAGAAGUCUAAAACUGUCUAAGUAAUAGUUUUUGAUAUAUCUGACUUGUUAUGGAAUAGUAACUAAAAAUUAAGUUUGAUGCUCAAGGUAACCACUCACUUCAAAAUCAAAAAUCUCAAAAACUAAUUGAAGCAUUAUCAUGAAACAAAAAGCAUAAUGCUCAGAAAAGUAUGCUGAACAGAUAUUAUUGAAAGUCUAAAAUUGUCCAGGUAAUACUUUUUGAAAUAUCGGACUUGUUAUGGAGUAGUAUCAAAAAAUUAAGUUUGAUGCUCAAGGUAACCACUCACUUCAAAAUCAAAAAUCUCGAAAACUAAUUGAAGCAUUAUCAUAAAACAAAAAGCAUAAUGCUCAGAAAAGUGUGAUGAGCAAAUGUUGUUUUAGGUUAGACAUUGUUCAAGCAAACAAAUCUUUGUCCAGGCAGUUGAGUUAAUUUUUUAAUACUUUUCUAGCCUUUUUUUAAGAAGUUAAUAUAGAUAAUUUCUUUAGGAAGUUAACUUUUUAAAAAUUAAUGCAAAAAAUGCCUGAACAAAGACCAAAACAUGACACCAAGUUUACAGACAGAAAACUGAUAAUGCAUUACUCUCUUUAUAAGAAAAAUUGCAAUAUUAUUAACAUUUUAAAUGCUUUAGUAUUAAUGAAACAUACACCAUUAAAAAUUCCUAAUUGUAAUAGAGCUUCCUUUUUUGGCUUUUUCUGCAGCUACUUAUAUAUUAAUUUAAUUCUAAUACUACUUUAUGGGUACCUUAAUUAUAGAUGCAUGAUUUGGGAAUGACCGUUUAUGAAAAAUUUGACCUUUGAACCGAGAAAAAUUCGUCAAACUUUUAUCGUCACUUGUUAAAUUUAGUAUACAACAAUUUUUAGAUCUAUACUAACAAGCAAACUCCAUAUGUCCUCAACGUUGCUGUGGUACCUCAUCUGCAUAUAUAUUACUUGAAAAAUUACGUCAAGGUCAGCACGUCCAUUGGCACAAUUAAUAUCUUCACUCAAUUCCACCAACUUAACGGUUGUUAAAGCAUUUGACUUUCUUAAGGUCAGCAAAACGUUCGUAAAUUAACGUUAAAAUUACCUUAUAUAUAAACCUUAAGGUCAAGUUCUCUGUUCGUGCCCUUCAACUUCUGUAAAAGUCAUAUUUUUAGAGUGCUGGAAUUAAAAUAAAUUAAGAAGAACUGAUCAGAACUUAGAUAAAAUAACAAAGAAAUACUCGAAGUGUGCAUGGAAAUUCAAUGAGAUUCAUGUUGAUUGAGCAUAAACGAUAAGAUACGCACAAUUUUUUCUCCAAUAUUCUUUGAUCUGUCAAAGGCUUUUGAUGGCGUCAAGAUUUAUAUAUCGGCACGAAUUAAAGAGUCCUUGAAUCUUCUUCUCAAAUCCUUCGCCUCCUAAUUAAUCUGAACUAAACUUAAAUUCGUUUGAUGUUUUUGAGACAGAGUACUUCAAUCAUAGUUCCUGAAAUAUGCCUCUCGGUUUAAAGGCUCAAAUUUCCAAUUAUUCCUUUAAUAAUAUUUUUA